rnacentral:rRNA from 1 species
ACCUUGCGAAAGUAAGACUAAUACCCAAUGACGUCUCUAGAAGACAUCUGAAAGAGAUUUAAAGAUUUAUCGGUGAUGGAUGGGGAUGCGUCUGAUUAGCUUGUUGGCGGGGUAACGGCCCACCAAGGCGACGAUCAGUAGGGGUUCUGAGAGGAAGGUCCCCCCACAUUGGAACUGAGACACGGUCCAAACUCCUACGGGAGGCAGCAGUGAGGAAUAUUGGUCAAUGGACGAGAGUCUGAACCAGCCAAGUAGCGUGCAGGAUGACGGCCCUAUGGGUUGUAAACUGCUUUUAUAAGGGAAUAAAGUGAGUCUCGUGAGACUUUUUGCAUGUACCUUAUGAAUAAGGACCGGCUAAUUCCGUG